GCCUGGGUGGCUUAGUAGGUUAAGCGUCUGACUUCAGCUCAGGUCAUGAUCUCAGGGUUGGUGGGUUCCAGUCCCAUACUGGGCU
rnacentral:tRNA from 1 species